GUCUGGCUGGAUCGCGAGAUCGGCGCCCUCUCUGGUAUGGCAGCGGGAGCAAUCGCCAUCGAGAGUUCGACACUCACUUCGGGCU
rnacentral:tRNA from 1 species